GUGCUCUUUUUGGCAGCAUGAAUAUUAAACCUGAAAUAAUUCAGAGAAGGUUUGUAUGGUCCCUAGGCAAAGGCAACACCAACAAUUCACGAAGCACAUUGCUCUUUG
rnacentral:snRNA from 1 species